GCUAGAACACGUGGCUAACCUGCCCUUAGGACGGAGACAACCCCGGGAAACUGGGGCUAAUUUCCGAUAGGUGAAAAAUUCUGGAAUGAAUUUUCGCCAAAAAGACGUUUAUGUUAUGCUCAUAUGCGUUGCCCAGGGAUGGGGCCGCGACCGAUCAGGUUGUUGGUGAGGUAAUGGCUCACCAAGCCUUUUACCGGUACGGGCCGUGAGAGCGGGAGCCCGGAGAUGGGCACUGAGACAAGGGCCCAGGCCCUAUGGGGCGCAGCAGUCGCGAAAACUUUGCAAUACACGAAAGUGUGACAAGGCUAUCCCGAGUGCUAUCCGCUGAGGAAGGCUUUUACCCAGUAUAAAUAGCUGGGAGAAUAAGGAGAGGGCAAGACUGGUGUCAGCCGCCGCGGUAAUACUAGCUCUCCGAGUAGUGUGGACGUUUAUUGGGCCUAAAGCAUGCGUAGCUUGCUAAACAAGUCCCCUGUUAAAUCCACCGAUUCAAUCGAUGGAUUGCGGGGGAUACUGUUUGGCUGGGGGACGGGAGAGGCCGACGGUAUUUCCGGGGUAGGGGUGAAAUCCUAUAAUCCCGGGAGGACCACCAGUGGCGAAAGCUGUCGGCUAGAACGCGCCCGACGGUGAGGGAUGUAAGCUGGGGGAGCGAACCGGAUUAGAUACCCGGGUAGUCCCAGCUGU
rnacentral:rRNA from 1 species